UCUUCCCAUCCCGAACAGAGAAGUUAAGCCCGUUAGCGCCGAUGGUACUGCCCCCGGGUGGGAGAGUAGGUCGAUGCCGAAU
rnacentral:rRNA from 1 species